AUGCUGGGGACCCUCUGCACUCUCAUCACUGCUCUAACAUAUGUUGAUGCAGUGAUCGUGCUGACUCAGACGCCUGCUGUCCACACAGUUUCUACAGGACAAGAGGUUGUUCUCAACUGCAAUGUUGAGAGGCAUUAUGGGAAUAUAGUCAGUUGGUAUAAACAGGUUCCUGGUGAAGCUCCUCAGUAUGUUCUUGGAUUGAGGUAUUCUAGUUCACCCAGCUUUGGAUCAGGAUUCUCCUCAGAUCGAUUCAACUCUAAACACACAUCAAACAUAGAUUUCCAGUUCAUCAUUAAGCGUGCAGAGGCAGGAGACUCUGCUCAGUAUUUCUGUAGCAUGUGGGACGACUCUGGUAACGAGCGGGUAUCACAGUGAUUCACACUAUGACAAAAACCUCAGUCACAGGUGUAAUAAACUCUGAUGAAUUCUGGGAGCAUUUUCAUGAAAGUUAUUAUCAGUUUGUUGCAGAUAUUCAGAAUUAACAAAAGCAUGACAACAGAAGAUGCAGCAGAAGAUGCAGGAACAUUCCUCAGGUCCAGCAGUGUUUAGGAACAACAUGAGACUGAUGGAGUGAAUGAGAUGUUGACAGUGAAAGUUGGUCUCAACAGCAUGUUUCAGUUCCACUCCCCUCAUUAGUGAGAGUCAGGAGGUGUUUGUACGGCCAUGUAUACAAACUGAAUCACUGUGGUAUUCGGACAAGGAACCAAGCUGAUUGUGACAAGUAAGUGGUUUUUAACUCAUUAUAAAACAGGAUAGAUUUUCUGUUUCCGAUAUAUAUUUAGAGAAAUUAAUAAAUUCAUAUGUUGCUUACAGUUGAAAAAAUCUUUACAUGUUCUGUAAAUAAUAGAUGGAUUUAUUUUUUACAUCUGCUUUGAUACCAGGCUGUGUGUUUGAAGGCAAUGGAUCAAUCUGAAAAUUAUAACAAUAUUUUAAAUAUUUUCUACAGAUUUAUAUGAUGGUUGUGGAAUAUUUAAUAGCUGUGCAACACUUGUUCCUUUUUAUUUUCAUUACGUAUGACAAGUUUUAACAUGAUAAAAGUCAAUGUUAAAUGUUCCAUCAGUAGGUGUUUAUGCUGUGAUAUGAAUAAUAAAUCACUGUGAUUAUAAUAUUUAUUUAUUAAUGUUUUGUCGUUUAGGUAUAAUUUUGAAUUUACCUAAACAUUACUGUUGCUGUGUGGAAGGUUUUUUUUUCAUGUUAGUUAGACAGACAGCACUUCAUUUUUCACAGUGGUUGAACAGCACUUUUAUGACACAGAAUGUGACUGUAUGCAUUAUUUUGCAACUUAGAAAGUAUAAUAAACUAAACACAAUAUUUAAAACUAUAUUUUUUGUUUUUUAAAAAGAACCCAGUUUUAUUUGAGAUGAUGAUUUCUGAAUAUUUAUUGCUGAUGUAUCUUUUCUUUUGUAUUUCCAGCAAAACUAAUGCACAAAUCUGUGACUGUAAAGAUUUGUAUGAAUUAUUUUCUUCCUAGUUAUUUGAUAAAGGUCCUGUGUGUGUUUUCAGGCUCCAGCCUCCCUCGUCCUGUCCUGACUCUCUUCCCUCCGUCCAGUGCUGAGCUCCAGUCCAACAAAGCCUCUCUGGUCUGUCUGUCCAGUCA